CCUACGGGAGGCAGCAGUGGGGAAUAUUGGGCAAUGGGCGCAAGCCUGAUCCAGCAACGCCGCGUGAAGGAAGAAGGAUUUCGGGUUGUAAACUUCUUUUCUCAGGGACGAAGAAAGUGACGGUACCUGAGGAAUCAGCCACGGCUAACUACGUGCCAGCAGCCGCCGUACUACGUAGGUGGCAAGCGUUAACCGGAUUUAUUGGGUGUAAAGGUCGUGUAGGCGGGAGCGCAAGUCAGAUGUGAAAACUCAGGGCUCAACCCUGAGCCUGCAUGUGAAACUGUGUAUCUUGAGUGCUGGAGAGGCAAUCGGAAUUCCGUGUGUAGCGGUGAAAUGCGUAGAUAUACGGAGGAACACCAGUGGCGAAGGCGGAUUGCUGGACAGUAACUGACGCUGAGGCGCGAAAGCGUGGGGAGCAAACAGGAUUAGAUACCCCUGUAGUC
rnacentral:rRNA from 1 species